rnacentral:rRNA from 1 species
CCGGCGACCGGCGCACGGGUGAGUAACACGUAUGCAACCUGCCCGUCUCAGGGGGAUAAUCGUCGGAAACGGCGUCUAAUACCCCGUAUGAAGCUGGACGGCAUCGUCUGGUUUUGAAAGGAUAUCGGAGACGGAUGGGCAUGCGGCGCAUUAGCUAGUUGGCGGGGUAACGGCCCACCAAGGCGACGAUGCGUAGGGGUUCUGAGAGGAAGGUCCCCCACACUGGUACUGAGACACGGACCAGACUCCUACGGGAGGCAGCAG